ACAGAUGAUCAGUGCCAGAUGAAAAGCUAACCUUAAUGUGUUCAAGUGUGCAUGAUUUGGUUUAAAUGUGCCUUUAGAGAUAAAGAACAAGCAAAGUCUAUACUCUAUUGCCAGCAUCAGUGUGAUGAUAAAGGUAAACCACCUAGUAAAAAUUGGCGGAAGUACGCCAUAUGAGUUUGUUAAGCUCUGCUUUACUAAUUUAAUAACAAAUAGUUUGGCUCAAAAAUAUACAUUUUUUGGAUCCCAAACAAAAUCUGCUCUCCUCCAAUUUAAGGGUCCAAUCGAAUAACCAAUUUAAGUUUUGGGACUUAUUGAUUACUGCAGCAGUUCGUGAAAAUUCUGAGGUCACCGUACGUAUUCUGGUUUUCCGUACAUAAAAUUAUUUUGUUCUAUUUAGGUAAUAUUUAUAAU